GGGUCGAUGGCGUAGCUGGCUAUCGCAUCUGUCUAACAUAUUAAUGUCACAGAAGGUCCUCAGUUCGAACCUGGGUCGACUCA